AAGUUGGACCAUGAUGUAAAUAUACAAGACUUUUUGGGUUCAAGCACUCAAUCAAUUGAGGAAUUAUCCAACCAAUUGAGGAUGAUGCGAGCUCAACUUACAGAAGCACACAGGAGACUGAGGUGCAACUUUGAAGCUCAUAUUUGUUAAAGUGAGGUCUGCUACUCUGGACACGUGGCUUCCUGAACAGGUUGCAUUUAUUCAAUCUAUGAGAAAUGAGAAGUCAAAUAGUUAUUGGGAAGCUGAGUUGCCCCCUAAUUACGACAGAGUUGGGAUUGAGAAUUUCAUACACACAAAGUGUGAAGAGAAGAGAUGGGUUCCUAAGGAUGGCAAGCCAAUGUCACCUUCUAGAGUAAUAGAAGAAAAGGCUUCUAUGCAAUGGUAGAGACCUAGUGAUAGGAGUGGUCAUGGAUAUGCUAACAAUUCUCAUUUUAAUAUUGAGAGGGGUUGGGAUCAUAAUUUCAAGUAUGAAAAGAAAAAAAAAACAAAAUAAAUACAUAAUAAAUGGUUGUCUUACUAAUGUAAUUGGAUAACUAAUCAUACACUAACUCAUGGGAUUAUUAAUCAUUUCACUAGUAAUCUUAUUAAUCAAA